rnacentral:lncRNA from 1 species
CAGGCAGAGAUGCAAAAGUCUAAGAGCAAAGGUGCAUUUAAGAAUUCUUCUAGUUCUCCACCACACUUAAAAAGGUUUUGUUUGUGUGCAGGAACAUUUGUAGGUUUUCGUCGGUUGCUUAUUUUUUUCCCAAGGUCUUUGUGAAUUGUUCAAACAGGGCAUCUUGGCUGGGCAGCUGGGGAGAGGGACCACAGCCUUCCUUCGGAUGGCUCCUUUGCACCCACUAAUUGCCUGGGAGCUGCUGGUUUUGUGAGGGGUAGAGAGGAGCAGGAAUUUCGGAGGGCCUGGCUGAGUGGUUUACCUGUUUUACGUGAUGCGUCUGGGACAGCUGGACGACUCACUUCCAGUAGGGCUUUUCACUCACAUCUGGCCUGCUCCAUGCUCCUUGGGCUCUCUCUCCCCAUGUCGUGUCUCAUCUUUCAGGGUCUGCGCAUGUAGCUUGACCUUCUUACAGCCUGGUGGUCUCAGGGUAGCUGCAUUUCUUACAUGGCGGCUGGCUUCCAAGAGGCAAGAAGUGGAAGAAGCCAGGCCAAUCCAGGGCUACGCCAAGAACGGGCAGUGGAUCAUUUCUACCACAGGAUAGUGAUCAAAGCAGGCUGGAGUCCUUCUCGGCUGAAGGAGUGGAGAAGUAGACUCCACUACUGCUGGGGGAAUGGCAAGUUCACACUGCAGAAGAGCACGUGGAGCGGGAGACACUGAUUUGAUACAGCCAUCUCUGAAAAACCCAGCUUCAUGUCACACGGCACAUGUAAAUCCAAUCGUCUUGCAUCCCAGACUCCUUGGAGCAUAUCACCAGCAGUGGUAGAAAUGACAACUGUGAUGCCUCCCUUCAUCUUCUUAAGGCUACGAGGAACAGUGGCAUAAACAUGAAGUUCAUGAUGUGUCACCGCUAGAAGAGGUUCCUAAGUAAUAACUUGUGGAAAGCUUGCAAUUCUUAUUGAAUUUCCUGGUAAACUAAUUAUGUUGAGUCCAUGAAAUGUCAAGUUAUACAUAAUAUAUUUUUAAGUUCUUAAACUAAUGGAUUGACUUUAGAGACAAUGUAGGGUAUGGUUAGGAGUGUGGGCUGUGGAGUCAAAUGAAACUGGGUUCUCAUCUGGUUCUGCCACGUAUUAACUGUGUGACCUUAGCGAAAGAUUCUUAACCUCU